GUGGCAAGAAGACAGGAAAGAUUAAGGGCUGAGGGUGUUUCUGUUUAUGAUCCCACCCCAGCUCUGGACACCUAGUAAUUCAUAGGGGCCAAUUCAGAGUCAGCUGGGAGGGGAAGAGCCUGGUUGGUUUGGGGGUGUGAGCUGCCCCUCUUGCCCAUUCCCUGAGGGCAAUGGGGCAGUCUGCCUCCUUUCUCCUUAGGGUGAGGCAGGUUCCUUGCUCCUGCUGAGACAGGUCCUUCAUCCACAUGGAGCCAUGGGUCCCUGCCCCAUGUGAAUGCCUAGAAGAGUACAUCUGGUCAUUUAAAAGGCCACAGAAACACAUAUGCUUUAAAGUUUCCUUAGGUGGAGCUUGGUCCAGUCAUCGAUUUUCUUUGAGUAAGGUGACAAUUGGGAAUUCUGGUUAAAGGUUCAAGAUGGCAGAUUGCAGCUGCAUAAUGUGGGGAAUAUUUUGGCUCAUCGUCCUGGUGUUUUUUGGCUGGCCCUUAAGCAUUGCCUUGGGUGGCCUCUAUGGAUUCCUCUCCCCUCUGACUACCUUAAUAGGACUGGAUGACUUCAGUGAAGCACUACUGAGGGGAGUAAAUCUGGGGAGACAGUGUGCUAAGAAUGUACAAAAUGGCAAGCCCCUUUGCUGAGGAAUAAAGACAAAAUUACAACUGACAAGCA